UACGGAGGGUGCAAGCGUUAAUCGGAAUUACUGGGCGUAAAGCGUGCGCAGGCGGUUUGUUAAGUCUGCUGUGAAAUCCCCGAGCUCAACUUGGGAAUUGCAGUGGAUACUGGCAAGCUAGAGUAUGGUAGAGGAAGGUGGAAUUCCCGGUGUAGCAGUGAAAUGCGUAGAGAUGUGGAGGAACACCGAUGGCGAAGGCAGCCCCCUGGGCCAAAACUGACGCUCAGGCACGAAAGCGUGGGGAGCAAACAGG
rnacentral:rRNA from 1 species